CUUGUAGGUGUGGACGGGCCGGUUGCUGAGGACAUUUUUGAAAUCGGCCAGAGUGACUUUUUCCGGCGGGACGGGCAGCUUCACCAGGUGCGAGAUCCAUUCUCUCCAAUGUCUGUCUGUGCCAGAGGGGCAGAGCACUGACUGGGGCUGCACCACUGUAGAGCUGAGGCUGGAAGACUGCUGUGUUUCAGAGAAAGAGGACAUACACUCCUCAGAACAUUCAGCUGCUCACAGCUCAGAGACUGAGUUACCUGGGACACCAGAAUGAUUUUUCUCCCAGCACAAAACAGAGGAGCCAAUUGUGUCAAAGGAUGCCAAAAGGUUAAAAUUAAUGCCAUUUAUUCUUUUUGGUUUACUGGAGGUUUAAUCAUUGCCAGCUCCCAGAUCCCACCAGCUGCAAUCCUGCAUCCAGAGCCAAACUCUCCCAUGCAGAGCCAGAUCUGGGCACCUCUCUACCAAUGGUAUGGUUAAUCCACAGCUCAACAAGACUUACAAGUAUUGAGAAACCCAAACAUCAUCAACUAUCUGCUGUCAUUUCCAGUACAGGGAACCAAUUGCAAAAUCAUGUUCACUGGGGUGCUUCAACUCCAGUGUUUUGCUCACCUGCUGACAUUCACACCCCUCAUCACUGCUGAACUUGACUGCUCUGUCAUCAUCAAACCAGAUAAAGAUAAGCAGAGGCAUGGCCUUGGUCUUCACCACGUAACUAGUGAUUCAGUACUGCUCUAAGUCAGGGAUGACCAACAGACUACACUUCAAAGAGCAGUUUCCAAGAGUGGUAACCACUGAUGGUUGGUGUCACUGCUCAGUUUUGGAAGUCUGAUCCAGCAGGGCACAAAGUACUGAAGAUUUCUGGAAAGUUCUGCACGUGUGCACAGGCACAUGGUACAGUUCUGCAAGCAUCCAAGAAUACUCUUGGUAUGGGAAGCAUGCCAUGAAUCCAUCAACCCUACCACACACAAGAACCUUGGGGUCAGACUGGGGAAGGCUGCCUUUGUCAGGACUGUAAGGUAACUGGAGUACAAGAUGUAUUUCCCAAAAUGCUGAGUUUUAUGUAGUUGUUGCAGUAUGAAACCCAGGGAAAACAUUAUCAUCCAACCCUUUGGUCUCUUCAGGCCAUACUUAAUGACCUUCUGAAUUCUUCAACAGCCCAGGUGGUAUCCACACAAAGACUAAAUCUACAAAGAGCUCUGUUCUCCCUUUGCUUUCACUUUUGACAACUGAAAAUUUAAUGAGUUGUAUAGUUGUCAGAUGGCUGCCUUGGAAUGGACAUGAUAAGACUGGAUCUGUGACUCACAAAAAAAAAAAAAAUCCUCUGUCCCCAUAAAGCACAGAAGAGAAGAGAUAACCCACUUUCAUGUUGCUGUCAAAUCACAAGCUAAUUCAAUUAAAAAGCAAACACAGGAAUGCAGAACACACCACUUUAGCAAGCCUCUGCUCCACCAGGGCUGAUAUCUUGCCUCUUGCAGAGUUCAGGCCUUAACACUCCAGUGAAAAAUAAAUAGAAGGCAUCAAAUCUCUUCCUAUUAGUGCUGUGCUCUCCGUGAUAGAGCAAAUAGUCCUGCUGACCCCUGCAGGGAGCAGAUAGUGUCCUGAGGCAUAAAAGCUGCUCACCCUUUUCUUCAUUUAUAUAGCAGUGCACUUCAUUACAACAUAGAGAAUAAGCAAGCCAUUUUAAACAGCCAUCUGUGAAUUACAGUCAUGGCUGUUGCUUGUCUCAGUGAAUUCAGAAAGCUCCUCACACUCUGGGUGCUGAGCAAAUUAGUCUUUGUUUAAAGAGAUUUGAUGACAAAAGGAAAACCAAAGCUCUGAGCACACCAACACUCACCAGAGCUGUGGCUUGGGACCCACUCUGAGGUUUCAGGGGUAUUUUUAAUCCACCUGCACAAAUGUAUUUGUAAAAGAACAAAAUCACCUUUUACUGGGAGGAUUAUUUCAUUGCAAGAGUCAGCCACUCAUGUCAACAAAACCAUGGUUGCCUCUGAGUAUCUUCAUGUGGAUUGUCAACCCUGGGACAGGAAGAUGUCUGUUUUAGUUCCACACAGCAGGAUCCAUGUGGCUGGCACCCCUGCAACCUUCCCAUCAUUUACAGCUACCUAUGCCACCUGUAGGACUGAGGGUCCCUACAAAGAACUCAUUAGCACAGAUGUUUUCAAAACUGAAGUGAGAACACCAGGGAAGCUUCCUUAGGGACUGGAAUCACAGUAAUGACCUAGAGACACAAAAUCUGAGUUGCCAAAGUACUGAGCCCCAUCAGUGGGGGAAGAAAAUCACUGCUUAAAAUUCAGAUGCUGUAGGGUGGUCGGGAUACAUCGUCAGGAUGCAAACCAAGGCAGUUUGCACUACUCGUGGUCUAAAAGAUCUGUAGGGUUGGUUUGGUUUGGGUUUUUUUUUCCUUUUAUUCUCCCUCUCUGUGCAGCAGACCUUGGGCACGGUCAGGCUGUGGCAGAAGAAGAAAAUAAAGACAUCAAACACUAGAGGGAGGCAGAAGACUUUCAGUCCAGCAACCUGGUCCCAGCCCCUGGGGCAGCACUCCCCAGGGCUUUCACUGCCACUGGAUUCAAAUACAAAGCAACAGAGUAUUUUCAGUGGCAUUUCCAGCACCCCACUUGUUACUGAACCACGUACACAGCUAUGACAACUCAACACUUCCACACUUGUUCUGGAGUCAUCUUAGUGCCAGUGACAGAGAACCAGUCUCUGUUGCACAUGUACACUUUUGGCAUGUUCAAACGUUUUCAUGGGAUGUACACCUCAUCAAUGAGUUCAGUGGGUUGGUCCAAGCUCCUACUCAUCAUAACUCAUUCUAUUUUCUUUCUCCUAGGCCAUUUUCUGGUUUCCCUGUCUCUUCUUAGCACCUACAGCACCUUCUUUAACGGGAAGAGCCACACUUCCCUGCAGCAAUUGUGUUGAGAGCAGCUGAUCUGCAGAGGGCCAUACAGAUGUUUAGAUACUUGACCUCUAGUGGAGUUUUUGUGCUUAGGAAUACCUGUUUGGAUCUUUCUUCUUCUUCUCUCAGGUCCCCAGUGUUUUUUCUUCUCUUGAGAAAUUUGCUGAUGACCAGCCAGCCCCCCUCCACCGGUAGCACUCUCCCCAGACUGGGAGGCAGAAAGGCAAGGGGGACAAUCUGGACUUCAUUUCAGUCAAGCUGAAGACAAUGAAAAUAUUUAAUUUCAGGGGUCUGCAAAGCAGGCCCUGUGGUUAAUAAAUUAGUUUUUCCUUGUUUCCAGCUGCUUCCCUGGAAAAUUAGACCCAUUGUCUACAGAGAAAAGAAACAAGAUGCCCCAACAACAAAUCACCACCAGUGGAGUUGUUGGCUGAAGCCUGCCAGCAGAGACCCAGUGUGCUGGCAGAAAGGAACAGGUUCAAAGCAUUAAUGACCCAGCUCUUGCCAAGGCUGUGCACUAAGACAUCACUCUUGAAGAUAACUGCAGAAAUAAAGCUGCCUUUUUGCAGGCUCUCCCAUGAAAAAGGGUUCAAGAGGGAAGCAGACCAUUUGUAGAUGCACAGUGUCAGGCAAGCCAAUAUUCCCCCAACAAAGAACAAAUGUAGAAAUCCAAUGUGUGGCACAUCAGACCAGCAAAAUGGUGGCAUCCUUGGCUUCCAGCAGCAACACUAUUUGAAGACUUUUUUUUUUUAAUGGCCUGGUGUGUCUGGGACAUUUAACAAGAAAAAGAAGAGUUAAGCUUAAAUCUUAGAAUAUGCUGUUGAGUCAGAUGUUGAGGUUUAUUCAGAGUAAAUCUUAGUUUGCUAAAUGUAAUUUUUUUAACACCUCUAGUGUCAUACCCUGCUGCUUUGAUCCUGCAACUUCUUGCACCUGCACUGUGCACCCAAGCAGCAAUACAAGCUGGUGCCAUCAGUGUCCCUGGGAGAACUCUGUCACGCCAGCUGGGAUCCUGUUCAGUGGGACAGGAGCCCUCUAAGAGGGAACUGUGCAGAAAGAACUUUGCAAGGUGUUAGUUCUGCAAGGAAAAGAGGAACUUGGGCUGGGAGCAAAAUAUAUCCUGUGCAGUUAACUAUUCCAGCAGGAUGUGUUAUCUUCCCUUCUGGACCUGCAGAGUUAUGUCCUAGGAAGGAGCUGCCAGCCUACAGCUCUGCUAGAUGGUCUGAACUCCCUCUGCAGCCACAGAUCUGUUCAUUAUCCAACACUUCUGGAGAGCUAAAAUUUGACUUUGGGCCCCAUGACCAAGUUAAAUGAUGAUGUCCUAUGUGGAAACAAUACUGCAAGUCUGGAAUAACUUAGAGCAUCCAGUCUGCACUUUGUCAAGCACUUUAGGAUGCUCUGAGAUGGAACACUGCUUAGCUCUUGGGAAGAAUUAGCUAAUGCUGGCUAAUAGCUUAGAUAUCAUCUCCAAAGAGCAAGAAAUAAAAUCAACCUUAACUUGAAA